AUUUGCUCCUCGCUCCAUGCCCCUUUUUCUUAUUCACUCGCUGCAUAAGAUGGAGAACGAUAUCGAUAUUAGAUAGGCUCAAGGUAGACACGGAGAACUGCAAACUGUGUGCCUGACAUCCGACAGGAAACCGGGGACAACCAGAUGUAAAGUUUGAUCUGAUAAAGGAUUGAUUUUGUCGGUUCGUCACUGUGGCCCGCUGCUGGAAUUAGGAGUUCUGAAUCGGGUGAAGGGGUUUUCACCGAUCGGGCAAAGAGGGAAGGUCGAGUGACGGGUGAUGGAGCCGACGGCCAACAACCAGCAGUCAGUACGUAGCCAAUUGUCACAUGGCGGGCGCCACUCGACCUCUUAACCUCCACCUUUAAUUCAAUCUCCUCAUCUGAAGUCGAGAAUUGCUUUCACAACCUCCUCUUCUUCUUGGUAGCAUGGUCAUAACAGCAACCCUUCCUCAUCCACUUCAGUCCACGUCUGAGCAUCCCUUUCGUUUACCGGACGGCAGCGGCCUUUCUCACCGAACCCCGAUCGACAAUCUUCCACCAUAUUCUUCGCCAUCGGAUCGCGGCAAACGCAAAUAGGUGUAGAACUGGCUGGUGUGGGAAAGAUGAGCAACAGCAGAGCUUGAGGCGAAUAGUAUACAAGAUAGUAAUUUUCCAUAGUUUUAGAUACUUGUCGAUCCA
rnacentral:sRNA from 1 species